rnacentral:rRNA from 1 species
UACAGGGGGGGCAAGCGUUGUUCGGAAUUACUGGGCGUAAAGGGCCAGUAGGCGGCCGACUAAGUCCGACGUGAAAUCCCCAGGCUUAACCUGGGAACUGCGUCGGAGUACUGGAUUGGCUUGAAUUCGGGAGAGGGAUGCAGAAUUCCAGGUGUAGCGGUGAAAUGCGUAGAUAUCAGGAGGAACACCAAUGGCGAAGGCAGCUCGCUGGGACGGUACUGACGCUGAGGCGCGAAAGCGUGGGGAGCAAACAGG